GGCCGUAUGGUGAAAUUGGUAUACACGGUUGAUUCAAAAUCAACUGCCGAAAGGCGUGACAGUUCGAGUCUGUCUACGGCCACCA
rnacentral:tRNA from 1 species